GACGAACGCUGGCGGCGUGCUUAACACAUGCAAGUCGAACGGAAAGGCCUCUUUCGGGGGGUACUCGAGUGGCGAACGGGUGAGUAACACGUGAGUAACCUGCCCUUGACUUUGGGGUAACUUCAGGAAACUGGGGCUAAUACCGGAUAGGAGCUCCUGCUGCAUGGUGGGGGGUUGGAAAGUUUCGGCGGUUGGGGAUGGACUCGCGGCUUAUCAGCUUGUUGGUGGGGUAGUGGCUUACCAAGGCUUUGACGGGUAGCCGGCCUGAGAGGGUGACCGGCCACAUUGGGACUGAGAUACGGCCCAGACUCCUACGGGAGGCAGCAGUGGGGAAUAUUGCACAAUGGGUGGAAGCCUGAUGCAGCAACGCCGUGUGCGGGAUGACGGCCUUCGGGUUGUAAACCGCUUUCGCUCAUGACGAAGCUUUGUGUGACGGUAGUGGGUAAAGAAGCACCGGCUAACUACGUG
rnacentral:rRNA from 1 species